UACGUAGGCAGCGAGCGUUGUUCGGAGUUACUGGGCGUAAAGGGUGUGUAGGCGGUUGUUUAAGUUUGGUGUGAAAUCUCCCGGCUCAACUGGGAGGGUGCGCCGAAUACUGAAUGACUUGGAGUGCGGGAGAGGAAAGUGGAAGUUCCUGGUGUAGCGGUGAAAUGCGUAGAUAUCAGGAGGAACACCGGUGGUGUAGACGGCUUUCUGGACCGUAACUGACGCUGAGGCACGAAAGCGUGGGUAGCGAACAGGG
rnacentral:rRNA from 1 species